AUUGAACGCUGGCGGCAGGCCUAACACAUGCAAGUCGAACGGUAACAGGAAGCAGCUUGCUGCUUUGCUGACGAGUGGCGGACGGGUGAGUAAUGUCUGGGAAACUGCCUGAUGGAGGGGGAUAACUACUGGAAACGGUAGCUAAUACCGCAUAACGUCGCAAGACCAAAGAGGGGGACCUUCGGGCCUCUUGCCAUCGGAUGUGCCCAGAUGGGAUUAGCUAGUAGGUGGGGUAACGGCUCACCUAGGCGACGAUCCCUAGCUGGUCUGAGAGGAUGACCAGCCACACUGGAACUGAGACACGGUCCAGACUCCUACGGGAGGCAGCAGUGGGGAAUAUUGCACAAUGGGCGCAAGCCUGAUGCAGCCAUGCCGCGUGUAUGAAGAAGGCCUUCGGGUUGUAAAGUACUUUCAGCGGGGAGGAAGGGAGUAAAGUUAAUACCUUUGCUCAUUUACGUUACCCGCAGAAGAAGCACCGGCUAACUCCGUG
rnacentral:rRNA from 1 species